rnacentral:rRNA from 1 species
UACGUAGGGUGCGAGCGUUGUCCGGAUUUAUUGGGCGUAAAGAGCUCGUAGGCGGUUUGUCGCGUCGGCCGUGAAAUCUCCACGCUUAACGUGGAGCGUGCGGUCGAUACGGGCAGACUUGAGUUCGGUAGGGGAGACUGGAAUUCCUGGUGUAGCGGUGAAAUGCGCAGAUAUCAGGAGGAACACCGGUGGCGAAGGCGGGUCUCUGGGCCGAUAACUGACGCUGGAGGAG